rnacentral:lncRNA from 1 species
UCCAUCAACGUGGAUGUACGAUAGCACCACCUAUCGGAACCACGGAUAAAAAAUCUCCGUGUCUCCAGAUUGCGUUUGCACACUCCAAUCCCAUCCCUUUACAUUCUUGCAACUUGCAUGCUUUACUUUCCACUGCUCAUAUACUCUUAUCAUGCUUGCUUGAUAUGUAUUGUGAAUGUGUGAACUUGUGCUAAAACUCAACUUCAACUUAAAGAAAUUAAAAACUGCAAAUUUUAUUGCUAGGAGUCUAUUCACCCCCCUCUAGACACUUCUUCUCGAUCCUUUCAAUUGGUAUCAGAGCUUUGGUCUCCAUUGCUUUGGGGAUUCUUAGACGUAGAGUGCCUAUUCUUGAUGGAGAGUUCUUUCAUGAGUGAAAAAAUGAGAUGCUUGAGAUUUUCAAUGAAUAUCAUUUGAACAAGUACAUUACUAGCCCUUGUGCACCUCAUGUUGAUCCUUUACAUCCUACCCUUGAUGAGUCUAUUGAAAUGAUUCGCAAUCUUAGAACUAUCAAUCUUAUCAUUAGAGGAUUGCCCAAAAAAUUUAUUGCUAGCUUACCUACUCUUGAUUGUGCCUAUACUAUAUGGAGAUUUCUUGAGGAACGAUUCCCAAAUUAUUCCUUGAAAAAUCUAGACAAAAUUCUCCAUAAGUCUAUAGCCUUGAGUAAGAUGAGUACUAGUGAUCCUAAGUUUGAUGAUUGUCUAUUUGAGCUUCGUGAUCUCAUGCGUGCCAAAGGAGAUGUUGGAAUUAUUAGCAAUAUCAUUUCCGAAGUCAUUAGAAUCCAUAGAGAUGAACAUUGUUACGGUCAUACUUCUAAUGAAUUACCCUCUCUAGGAGUUGAUCAAUUACAAGACGAUAUAGAACAUGGAUACUAUGAUGAGGAUGAUGAUAGUGACUAUGAUCUUGAUGAUGCGAUGAGACACUUUGGUCUUAUGGCUAAUCUUCGCGGCUACUUGGUUGGAGGAAAGGAAUGGGUCCUUGAUAGUGGAUGUACUGAUCAUAUGACCGGAGACAGAGAUAUGUUUCGUGAGCUUGCUGAAAACGACGGCCCUCGAUAGUAUGUCACUUUCGGUGAUAACUCAAAGGGUAAGGUGGUUGGCCUUGGUAAGGUGGCCAUCUCACAUGAUAGCUCCAUACAAAAUGUCAUGCUCGUUGAAUCUCUUGGGUACAAUUUACUUUCAGUAUCUAGACUUGCUGAUUUCGGUUUCAAUGUCCUAUUUACUGAAGUAGAAUGUCAAGUGUUUCGUUGAGACAAUCAUAAAAUGGUCUUUACCGGUAUACGUAGAGGUGAUCUUUACAUUGUUGAUUUCACUAAAAAGGCUCAACCUAGAACUUUCUUAAUUGCUAAAUCUUCUAAAGGCUGGUUGUGGCAUAGAAGGUUAGGUCAUGUGGGCAUGCGAAAACUUGAUAAGCUUAUUAAAGGUGAUCAUAUCCUUGGAGUAAAAGAUGUUAUAUUUGACAAGGAUAGACUUUGUAGUGCUUGUCAAGCAGGAAAACAAGUUGGAGGAAGUCACCCCGUGAAGAACAUCAUGACCACGAGAAGACCGCUCGAGCUACUUCACAUGGAUCUCUUUGGUCCCAAUGCCUACAAGAGUCUCGGUGGUAACUCAUUUGGUCUAGUCAUAGUCGAUGAUUUUUCAAGAUUUACGUGGGUGUUCUUUCUUGAUGAUAAAUCGCAGGUCGAAAAGAUCUUCAAAAACUUCGCUAGGAAGGCCCAAAAUCAAUUUGAAGUGAAGAUCAAGAAGGUUCGGAGUGACAACGGAACGGAGUUCAAGAACGCAAAUGUGGAUACCUUUCUUGACGAAGAAGGGAUUUCACACGAGUUCUCGGCUACGUACACGCCUCAACAAAAUGGAGUUGUUGAGAGGAAGAACCGAACUCUUAUUGAGAUGGCAAGAACGAUGCUUGAUGAGUACAAGACUCCAAAACACUUUUGGGCGGAAGCGGUUGAGACAACUUGUCAUGCAACAAAUUGCUUGUAUCUUCACAAGCUACUCGGCAAGACGGCAUACGAGCUCCUCACCGGUAACAAACCCCAAGUUGGAUACUUUCGAGUAUUCGGCUCAAAGUGCUACAUUCUUGAUAAGCAUCGUCGUUCUAAAUUUGCUCCUAAAUCUCAUGAAGGUUUCCUACUUGGUUAUGGCUCAAACUCUCACACUUAUCGUGUCUACAACAAUUUCACCCAAGAGGUUGAAGAGAUGGUAGAUGUGAAGUUUGAUGAAUCUAAAGGCUUGCAAGUAGAGCAAUUGCCAAUUAAUGUAGGAGACAAAGGCCCUUCGGAAGCAAUCCUAGACUUGUCUAUCGGCAAGAUUCGUCCAACAGAGGUGAAGGAGAGUACCUCGUCCGUCCAAGUGGAAGCUUCCACCUCACGACAAGGUGAACCAAGAGUUGACAUGGGAGCAUCCACAAGUGGGACACACCAAGACGAAGAAAACGAGGACGUACACCAAGAUGAACCUCAUCAACCUCCCUCUCCACCACGACAAGAGAACGACAACGUCCACAAUGAAGAAGGCCAAGAAGAAGGACAAGAUGAAGAAGAUGUUCCACCCCGAACAAAGAAAAAGCUCCCACGAGUUCGAGCAAGAGUCGCCAAAGACCAUCCCGUCGACCAAAUCUACAAUGAUAUCCAAACCGGGAGAAUCACUCGCUCUAAAACUCGUUUGGCUAACUUUUGUGAACAUUAUUCAUUCAUCUCUAGCAUUGAACCUAUGAAGGUUGAAGAAGCAUUGGAAGAUCCGGAUUGGAUAAAUGCCAUGCAUGAAGAGCUACACAACUUUGAGAAAAAACAAGUGUGGACAUUGGUCGAGAAGCCCGACAACAACCACAACAUCAUCGGUACCAACUGGGUGUUUCGCAACAAGCAAGAUGAAGAUGGUCAAGUCGUCCGCAACAAAGCUCGUCUAGUCACCCAAGGCUACACUCAAGUCGAAGGUAUGGACUAUGGUGAGACAUAUGCCCCCGUUGCUAGACUUGAGUCCAUUCGCAUCUUACUUGCUUAUGCUAAUCACCAUGAUAUCACCUUGUACCAAAUGGACAUUAAAAGUGCUUUUCAAAAUGGUGAAAUUGAGGAGGAAGUUUAAGUUAAGCAACCUCCCGGCUUUGUCAAUCCUAAGAAACCUAAUCAUGUUUACAAACUUCACAAAUCUCUUUAUGGUCUUAAACAAGCUCCUAGAGCGUUGUAUAAAUGCUUGACCAAGUUCCUCAUUGAAAAAGGCUUUGAAAUUGGAAAAAUAGAUUCUACUGUUUUUACUAAAAGGGUUAAUGGAGAACUAUUUGUGUGCCAAAUUUAUGUUGAUGAUAUUAUAUUUGGUUCGACUAACCCUCAUUUUAGUGAGAAGUUUGGAACGCUAAUGUCGGAGAAGUUUGAGAUGUCUAUGAUGAGUGAACUCAAAUUCUUUCUUGGUUUGCAAAUUAAGCAAACUAAGGAAGGUACCUUUGUUUCUCAAACAAAGUACACCAAGGACUUAUUCAAGAAGUUCAAUAUGCAAGAAUGCAAAGGUAUGAAUACACCCAUGCCUACUAGUGGACAUCUUGAUUUGACCAAAGAUGGUGAACUGGUUGAUCAAAAAGUCUACCGCUCUAUGAUUGGUUCAUUGUUAUAUCUAUGUGCCUCUCGUCCCGAUAUUAUGCUAAGUGUGUGCAUGUGUGCAUGAUAUCAAGAGGCCCCUAAAGAAUGUCAUCUUAAGGCUAUGAAAAGGAUAGUGAGAUACUUAAUACAUACACCAAAUUUUGGCAUUUGGUAUCCUAAGAGGUCUUCUUUUGAUCUUGUUGGCUAUUCCGAUUCGGACUAUGCCGGAGACAAGGUUGAUAGAAAGUCCACUUCAGGUACUUGUAAAAUUCUUGGUAGAUCUCUUGUGUCUUGGUCCUCCAAGAAACAAAACUCGGUAUCCUUAUCCACCGCCGAAGCGGAAUACAUUGCCGCUGGUUCAUGUUGUGCUCAAUUACUUUGGAUGACCCAAACUCUUAAAGAUUAUGGGAUAUAUGUGAAACAUGUUCCAUUGCUUUGUGACAAUGAGAGUGCUAUUAAGAUUGCUCACAAUCCCGUGCAACAUUCUCGAACUAAGCAUAUUGAAGUUCGUCAUCAUUUCAUUCGAGAUCAUGUUGCUAAAGGGGACAUUGAUCUUAAGCAUGUUCGUACCGAUGAGCAAUUGGCGGAUAUAUUCACCAAACCGCUUGAUGAGAAAGUCUUUUGCCGUUUGAGAGGUGAAUUGAACAUCAUUGAUGCUUCAAACUUGGAGUAGGGACUCCAUUUGGAUACAUGCAAGGCAUGAAUCUAUGACCAAUCCUUGAUAUUUCUUUCAUGAUGCUAUUUACAUGUCUUGGAUAUAUUUGCACCCUUGCAUGUUAUCUAACCCUUGUAGGUACUUGGAUGAAUCUAAAUCUAUGAGAUUGCAACUCUCUCACAUCUUGAGCAAUCUCUACAACACCAAGUCUCUACAAUACGGUGGUUGAUGACAAGGAAGCACAAAACCCUUCAACAUAUCCUUUGACAAAUUAUAUGUAUAAAAUUUCAUGAUUGUCAUUUUGGAUACACAAGUGCUCUUCCUUGCAAAACUAACCCAUGUAGGUAGAUGAACUCAAAUUACAAGUGGUGCUCCCAACUCUUGAUGAACUACAUCAACCUUGAGCAACCCACACAAGUUCAACUACAUGAUCAAGAUCAACACCACCACCCAAGGUAUGCUAUUCCAUCUUGGAGAAGCUUUACUCCAAGUCAUGAGUCAAAGUAGCUCAACAAGAUGUGAAUACAUCAAAUGCUUAAACGAAAAAUGGUAACCCCAUUUUGAGCUUAAACGAUGAGUAUGACUUAUGAUCAAGUGCUCUCACUAGAAUCCUUAGUCAAUAUACUCUAACAUAGGUGACUUUGUCACUGCCCAAUUCUAGAUGAAGUUCUCUAGUGUUUCUUUGAGUUUUUGCAUUUUGUCCUUUGAAUAUUUAUUCCCUUUUCUUUAUCAAAAAAACUUCAUCUAGAUUUUCUUUUCUUUGUUCUGUUCUGCAUUCCCUGCAUCCAAUUCUUUGCAAAUCUUUCAGCUAAUUCCUUGCAAAUCCUUGUGAGAUCUUACUUGACUACUGAGCUGAGGUGACAAGUGUUUUCUUUGUGAUGAACUCGGUCACACCGGUUUGUUGUUUUCGGUCCAACCGAACCCUUUCGGUGCAACCGAAGCACACAACUCGGUGCCACCGAUUUCACUACAGGAAAGACAACUUGCCACUUGUUCCUGCAUUCUUUUUGCUCCAGCUUCACUCAAUGAUUCUUGUCCUCUACCAGCAUCACAUUCGACUUGCUGCUUUGCUUUGUGACUCAAGGACCAAACCCAUCUGUAACAAACAUCGAGAAGAGCCCUUCUUGGAAAUUGAUGUCAAAGGGGGAGAGAGAGAUCACAUCAAAGCUUAAUCAUUUCUAUAGGGGGAGAGAGAAUACUCAGGGGGGAGAGUUCUUCACAAUGAGAAAGAAGUAUCACAUCAAAGACCCCAGAUGCUUGGUGUUCAAGAGGAGAGAAGUCACAUGUCUUUAAGAGGGGAAAUACAUGUUCAUAUUUGAUUGCUUGCAUUUGCUCUGUUUUUUUCUUUGCUCUGAUUUUCUGUUCCCUAUCUUCUCCCAGUAUCCCAUGCAAUAUUCAGGGGGAGCAAGACAUCUAAGGGAAGGAAAUCCUUGAAUUCAUUGCAUAUCUUUACCUUUGGGGACAUGUCUAUAUCCAAUAGAGUACUCAGUACUCACUCUCUACAUGUCAUCCCAGUCUUGGUACUCUUGUGGUUUCUUUGUUUGCUCUGGCUAGUAGAUGUAUCUGCGUUAUCUAACCUUGUUUACUCAGGUUCAUUCCUUCCUAAGCCAACUCAAGACCACAAGGUAAGUAUAUGCAUCACAGUCAUGUGCAUGAGGUUUUCUUGCUGAUGUACAUAAUGUUUGCAAGAAGGACUCAUGAGCAUGAAGGUACAUUUCCUAUACUCACAACAUUUGCUCUGAUGCAUAUAGCCAAGAUACAUGUAGCACAUUGCUUACUCUGUCAUGCUUAUGCAUUCACAUGCUCCUAUAUUCCAUAUUUACAUGAUUGCAUACAUGUAGGGGAGCCUAUGCAUGUUACAUGUCUUUCCAAAGCUUUACUUGUUAUUCGCUAUAUCUUUAUCUAAAAGCGUUGAUGUAUGUUGUCAUCAAUUACCAAAAAGGGGGAGACUGAAAGCACAAGUGCUCCCUGGGUGAUUUUGGUAAUUAAUGUCAACAUAUCUCUUGUUGGACUAAUGGUUUCACCUAGUAUAUUUCAGAUAAGUUCAACAAUGGAGUGGCGUGGACAAGAAGAUGUGGAACCCCUUCAAGAUGAUAAGGACAAAGGAUUGGCUCAAGCUCAAAGCUCAAGACUCUGCAUUUUCUAUUUUAGUGAUCCAAGAUCACAUUGAGUCCAUAGGAAAGCCAAUACUAUUAAGAGGGGAUGAGGUGUUGCUUAAUGGCUUGCUUGCUCAAAAUGCUUAGUGAUAUGCUCCAAAAUCCUCAACUACUUUCUCACAUCCAAAUAUGUCCCAAACCAAAAGUCCAACUCGGCCCCACCGAAACUUUCUAUCCGGCGCCACCGAGUUCUCUUGACUUAGCCACUGCCAGAAACCCUAAUCAAUUCGGUCUCACCGAUAGGGAUCUCGGUAUCACCGAGAUGGGAUUGCAAACUCUCUGUUGCCUAUUGCAAUAAUCUCGGUCUCACCGAGAUAUGCAAUCGGUCCCACCGAGAUUGCAAUGCAAACUCUUUGUUUCCCCUUCGUAAUGUUUCAGUCCAACCGAGAUGAGCGAAUCGGUCCCACCGAGUUUGCCUGACCAACUCUCUGGUUAGUCUAUUACCAAAAUCGGUCUCACCGAGUUUGUGUAAUCGGUUUCACAUUGAUUACGUUAUGCCCUAACCCUAAUGACAUCGGUCCCACUGAGUUGACAUAUCGGUCCCACCGAAAACCCUAACGGUCACAUUAUGAACCAAAUCGGUCUGACCGAGUUCUCUGAUUUGGUCCCACCGAGUUUGGUGAUUUGCGUGUAACGGUUAGAUUUUGUGUGGAGGCUAUAUAUACCCCUCCACCCACUCUUCAUUCGUGGCGAGAGCCAUCAGAACAUGCCUACACUUCCAACAUACAUUUUCUGAGAGAGAACCACCUACACUUGUGUUGAGGUCAAGAUAUUCCAUUCCAACCACAUAAAUCUUGAUCUCUAGCCUUCCCCAAGUUGCUUUCCACUCAAAUCAUCUUUCCACCAAAUCCAAUCCUAUGAGAGAGAGUUGAGUGUUGGGGAGACUAUCAUUUGAAGCACAAGAGCAAGGAGUUCAUCAUCAACACACCAUUUAUUACCUCUUGGAGAGUGGUGUCUCCUAGAUUGGUUAGGUGUUACUUGGAAGCCUCCGUCAAGAUUGUGGAGUUGAACCAAGGAGUUUGUAAGGGCAAGGAGAUCGCCUACUUUGUGAAGAUCUACCCUAGUGAGGCAAGUCCUUCGUGGGCGACGACCAUGGUGGAAUAGAGAAGGUUGCUUCUUCGUGGACCCUUUGUGGGUGGAGCCCUCCAUGGACUUGUGCAACCGUUACCCUUCGUGGGUUGAAGUCUCCAUCAACGUGGAUGUAUGAUAGCACCACCUAUCGGAACCAUGGAUAAAAAAUCUCCGUGUCUCCAAAUUGCGUUUGCACACUCCAAUCCCAUCCCUUUACAUUCUUGCAACUUGCAUGCUUUACUUUCCGCUGCUCAUAUACUCUUAUCAUGCUUGCUUGAUACGUAUUGUGAAUGUGUGAACUUGUGCUAAAACUCCACUUCAACUUAAAAAAAUUAAAAACUGCAAAUUUUAUUGCUAGGAGUCUAUUCACCCCCCUCUAGACACUUCUUCUCGAUCCUUUCAAUUGGUAUCAGAGCUUUGGUCUCC